rnacentral:rRNA from 1 species
GACGAGCCACACGAACGUUAUUCGGAAUUACUGGGCUUAAAGGGUGCGUAGGUGGGCAGGUAAGUCAGUGGUGAAAUCUCUGGGCUUAACUCAGAAACUGCCAUUGAUACUAUCUGUCUUGAAUACCGUGGAGGUCAGCGGAAUAUGUCAUGUAGCGGUGAAAUGCUUAGAUAUGACAUAGAACACCAAUUGCGAAGGCAGCUGGCUACACGAAUAUUGACACUGAUGCACGAAAGCGUGGGGAUCAAACAGG